UCGGUUGAUCCUGCCGGAGGUCACUGCUAUCGAGGUUCGACUAAGCCAUGCGAGUCGAAUGCCGCAAGGCAUGGCGUACUGCUCAGUAACACGUGGAUAACCUACCCUUGGGACGGGCAUAAACCCGGGAAACUGGGUAUAAUUCCCGAUAGGUCUGGGAGGCUGGAACGCAUUCAGACUGAAAGCUCCGGCACCCAAGGAUGGGUCUGCGGCCUAUCAGGUAGUAGUGGGUGUAACGUACCUACUAGCCUACUACGGGUACGGGUUGUGAGAGCAAGAGCCCGGAGAUGGAUUCUGAGACACGAAUCCAGGCCCUACGGGGUGCAGCAGGCGCGAAAACUUUACAAUGCGGGCAACCGCGAUAAGGGGACCUCGAGUGCCGACAUCAAAUGUCGGCUGUCGUGAUGCCUAAAAAGCAUUACAUAGCAAGGGCCGGGCAAGACCGGUGCCAGCCGCCGCGGUAACACCGGCGGCUCGAGUGGUGACCGCUAUUAUUGGGUUUAAAGGGUCUGUAGCCGGCCGGAUAAGUCUCUUGGGAAAUCUGGCCGCUCAACGGUCAGGCUUUCAGGAGAUACUGUCUGGCUCGAGGCCGGGAGAGGUGAGAGGUACUUCAGGGGUAGGGGUGAAAUCUUGUAAUCCUUGAANGACCACCAGUGNCGAANGCNUCUCACCAGAACGGACCUGACGGCAGGNACGAANGCUAGGGGCACGAACCGGNAUUAGAUACCNGGUAGUCCUAGCCNUAAACGAUACUCGCUAGNUGUCGGCCACGGUGCGACCNNNGNCGGUGCCGCAGGGAAACCGUGAA
rnacentral:rRNA from 1 species